rnacentral:rRNA from 1 species
CUACGGGGCGCAGCAGUGGGGAAUCUUGGACAAUGGGCGCAAGCCUGAUCCAGCCAUGCCGCGUGAGUGAAGAAGGUCUUCGGAUUGUAAAGCUCUUUUACCAGGGACGAUAAUGACGGUACCUGGAGAAUAAGCCCCGGCAAACUUCGUGCCAGCAGCCGCGGUAAUACGAAGGGGGCUAGCGUUGUUCGGAAUUACUGGGCGUAAAGCGCACGUAGGCGGGUCGUUAAGUCAGGGGUGAAAUCCCGGAGCUCAACUCCGGAACUGCCUUUGAUACUGGCGAUCUUGAGAUCGGAAGAGGUGAGUGGAAUUCCCAGUGUAGAGGUGAAAUUCGUAGAUAUUGGGAAGAACACCAGUGGCGAAGGCGGCUCACUGGUCCGAUACUGACGCUGAGGUGCGAAAGCGUGGGGAGCAAACAGGAUUAGAUACCCUAGUAGUC